rnacentral:rRNA from 1 species
GUAGGAUAGGUGGGAGGCUUUGAAGUGUGGACGCCAGUCUGCAUGGAGCCGGCCUUGAAAUACCACCCUUUAAUGUUUGAUGUUCUAACGUGGACCCGUUACCCGGGUUGCGGACAGUGUCUGGUGGGUAGUUUGACUGGGGCGGUCUCCUCCUAAAGAGUAACGGAGGAGCACGAAGGUUGGCUAAUCCUGGUCGGACAUCAGGAGGUUAGUGCAAUGGCAUAAGCCAGCUUGACUGCGAGCGUGACGGCGCGAGCAGGUGCGAAAGCAGGUCAUAGUGAUCCGGUGGUUCUGAAUGGAAGGGCCAUCGCUCAACGGAUAAAAGGUACUCCGGGGAUAACAGGCUGAUACCGCCCAAGAGUUCAUAUCGACGGCGGUGUUUGGCACCUCGAUGUCGGCUCAUCACAUCCUGGGGCUGAAGUAGGUCCCAAGGGUAUGGCUGUUCGCCAUUUAAAGUGGUACGCGAGCUGGGUUUAGAACGUCGUGAGACAGUUCGGUCCCUAUCUGCCGUGGGCGCUGGAGAACUGAGGGGGGCUGCUCCUAGUACGAGAGGACCGGAGUGGACGCAUCACUGGUGUUCGGGUUGUCAUGCCAAUGGCACUGCCCGGUAGCUAAAUGCGGAAGAGAUAAGUGCUGAAAGCAUCUAAGCACGAAACUUGCCCCGAG